rnacentral:rRNA from 1 species
AGCGAACGCUGGCGGCAGGUUUAACAUAUGCAAGUCGAACGCCCCGCAAGGGGAGUGGCGGACGGGUGAGUAACACGUGGGAACGUACCCUUUGGUUCGGAAUAACUUGGGGAAACUCAAGCUAAUACCGGAUAAGCCCUUAUGGGGAAAGGUUUACUGCCGAAGGAUCGGCCCGCGUCUGAUUAGCUAGUUGGUGAGGUAAUGGCUCACCAAGGCGACGAUCAGUAGCUGGUCUGAGAGGAUGAUCAGCCACACGGGGACUGAGACACGGCCCAGACUCCUACGGGAGGCAGCAGUGGGGAAUAUUGGACAAUGGGGGCAACCCUGAUCGAGCCAGGCCGCGUGAGUGAUGAAGGCCUUAGGGUUGUAAAGCUCUUUUACCCGGGACGAUAAUGACUGUACCGGGAGAAUAAGCCCCGGCUAGCUUCGUGCCAGCCGCCGCCGUAAAAC